CAGCCCCAGCGUACCUUUGCUGCUGUUGUGUGCCUGGAUUGGACUUCAAACACUUUUUGUCUUUAUAGGGCUGACAAAGGAAGAAACCAUUUGUGACAGGGAAGCUUGAUCCAGGCUGACUACAGAAGCCACUGCAUCAGCAUAGCAGCUGAUAGGAUUGGACUUUAAAUUGUGCCAGUGUGGGAUUCUAAGGUUGUCUCCAGCACCAGG